GCCACAAAGCUAGCUCAAACACACCAAGAAACUUGUUAAUCUACCUUAUUUUUAAAAGACAAAAACCCACUCAUCAAACCAUUUGACCAUCCCAGUAUGGGCGACAGAAAAGAUAACCCGAAGCAAUAGAAGAAGUACCGCAAGGGAAAGCUGAAAAAGAAAUGAAAAAACCCGUUAAAGCACCAAAAAGCAAAGAUAAACUCUUGUACCUUUUGCAUCAUGAUUCAGCAAGUUAACUCAAGCAAAGAGAACUCUAGUUUGCCCCCCCGAAACUUGACGAGCUACUCCGGAACAGCUAAUUAUGAGCCAACCCAUCUCUGUGGCAAAAGAGUGGGAAGAUUCCCGAGUAGAGGCAAAAAACCUACCGAGCCAAGUUAUAGCUGGUUACCCAAUAAACGAAUAAAAGUUCAGCCCCACCCAGCCCCCCUCAAGAAAGUACAACCAACAAAGAUAAUUAGAGCUUACGUGGAGGUUAAUCAAAGGAGGAACAGCUCCUCUGAUUAAGGACACAACCUUAAUAGAAGGUUAAAGAAUACAAUACACAAGGCUCAAGGUCGCAGUGGGCCUGAAAGCAGCCACCUGACCAGAAAGCGUUAAAGCUCUGACCCUCACCCUGGCCUAUUAUUUUAUUUUUUCUUCUUACCCCUCUAUACCUUAUUGGGUCUCUCUAUGCCAAGCUCAUAGAAGAGAUUAUGCUGAAACGAGUAACAAGAAGGAUGAACUUCUCCACGCACAAGUGUAUGUCAGAAUGGACUAACCACCGACAACUAACGAACCCAAAAAAAGAGGGCCCUACACAUCCGUCCCUUAAAACCAAGAAAAAUCUGUUGAGUUUUAUCGUUACCCCUACACAGGAGUGCUAGAACCAGGAAAGACUAAAAGAAAAAAAAGGAACUCGGCAAACCCAAACCCCGCCUGUUUACCAAAAACACCGCCUCUUGCCUAAUAGAGUAUAAGAGGUCCCACCUGCCCUGUGACUUUAAGUUUAACGGCCGCGGUAUCCUAACCGUGCGAAGGUAGCGCAAUCAAUUGCCUUUUAAAUGAAGGCCUGUAUGAAUGGUAUAACGAGGGUUUAACUGUCUCUUUUUUCUAGUCAGUUAAACUGAUCUGUCCGUGCAGAAGCGGACAUUACUAUACAAGACGAGAAGACCCUAUGGAGCUUUAGACACCAGCCAACUGUGAAAUAGCGAUUAAUACACCUUAUUCCCAAACAUCCGCAGCCUCUGGUAAAGUGUCUUAGGUUGGGGCGACCACGGGAGAAAGAAAAGCUCCCGAGCAGAACAGGGUUCACCCUGGAACUAAGAACGACAGCUCUAAGUCACAAAAUAUUUGACUGAAAUGAUCCGGACUAACAACCGAUUAACGAACCAAGUUACCCUAGGGAUAACAGCGCAAUCCCCUCCCAGAGUCCCUAUCGACGAGGGGGUUUACGACCUCGAUGUUGGAUCAGGACAUCCUAAUGGUGCAGCCGCUAUUAAGGGUUCGUUUGUUCAACGAUUAAAGUCCUACGUGAUCUGAGUUCAGACCGGAGUAAUCCAGGUCGGUUUCUAUCUGUAAAGCUACCUCUCCUAGUACGAAAGGACCGGAGUGGAGGGGCCAAGGCUCCUAGCAAGCCCCUUACUCACCUGCUGAAGUCAACUAAAGCAAAUAAGAGUAAGCGACCCAGCAGCUCAAGAAAAGAGCUGUUUUUAUUCGC
rnacentral:rRNA from 1 species